GAUAAAACGCAAGCAAACACAAUCGGGUACAUAUUGCAGCGCUUUUCAAACGCUUUGCUGGCUGAAAGAAAAGGCCAGCUCGCGCAAAUAUCGAGUGCAAGCGUGUGGGUGCGCGCUGGCUUACAGAGCUUCCACGUUGCAAUAUUUUGUACAUCGGGAACGACGUUUUUUUCCUUUAAUUGCGGAGGUGGUGAUGCUUUGCGAUUCUACGCCGAGAGUAUCCAGAAAUUUUCGAUCGAUGGUUACACAGCUGUGCACGAACACGGGGCAGGGAGGCAGAGGGACAAAGCUGACGCAGGUCCCCCGAUUCGACAAGCUUUGGCCAUCCUGCGGAAUUUCGGUCAUCUUAGAGGCGCCGACGUAACAAUACAAAACUGGGAUUGUUACAAAUGUGUGGCUUUUGUAGCACACAUGUUAAAGGACCAACCAAAUGGAAAUCUAACCGUGUUGUGUCGGUACUCUGAGAAGGAUGUGGAAGGAUUUCUGUAGGUGUAGAAUGCUUGCAGUUUCUUUUUGGUUUUGUGGUUCCUGUUCGACUCUGCAUUAUCGUACUGGGAAAACACUCCUUUGGACAACAAACCGCGUCGUUUGUUGCGAAUUGCUGACCGAACAGGAUCCAAAACAUGAAGAUAGUAGUCACUUGUUACUAUUUUCUUUCCUUUGCGACUACAUGGGUGACCCUCACAAUUUUGCACUGCGAUAAUACAAUAACACUAAUAGUAAUAAUAAUCGUAAUAUUAAUACGCACGUCCGUACUCAUUUUGUAAUUUAUUAAAGUACUUUGAGUAUGAUCAAAUGGAUUGGAUAAUCAGAUUUACAUAAAAGUAUUUUUCAUAUAAUACCUUGGUGUUUCAAACUUAUUUAAUUGGAACUUACUGACAAGUUUCUCAAAAGAAAGAUAAUAUUAAGAUUUUGUUUUUACUUGCGAACUUUUCUACAACUUAACAGAAUUUCAAUUUCUUUCAAAAACCGAGUAAAAUUAAAAUAUUGAUUUUUAUUAAUAUGACGUAGAUCUUGUAAUCUCUCGUAUUAUAACAUCGCAAUAAUCUCGCAGAGCAUGUUCUAAACUAAUCUUAAUAAACCUGAAUAUUUGCUAUCAGAUUUUUAUCUCACAACUAUGCGUUAUUCUAUAUUCUGUAGUUAAAAAGGGAGAAACAAAUAAUUCAAUGGUUAUUUGUUAGAGUAAAUGUUAUUUUGCCAUAAAUAUAGAAUUCCCUGUCCUUCAAACAAAUGAGUAACAAGAAGGUAUCUCUAAUCAGUAGAACUUUAAAUGAUACAAGAUAAGGUAUAAUUUAUUAUCUUACUUGAUAAGCUUUCCUUUUCUUGCUUGCAUAAGUUAAAUUUCAGCUUUGAUGUAAACAAGUCUUGCAUUGUAUGUGUAAGUAAAGAAAAACGUAACAUUAAAAUAGAUAAACAUAGUAAACGAAAUACAAUGAUUAGAAUAAAAGAAUAAUAACGGAGUUUAUUGCAAUUAACAAAUAAUUAUUAUUCAAACCAGGAUUUCAUAUAAUAAGAAUUUAUCCACUCAAUAACACAAAUAUUUAUAAAACAAUCAUUCCUGACAUCGAAACAAAUCUUGACAUCGGUUCAGAGAUUGCACACUUCUAAAGCCCCUAAUUAUCAGUUUUAACGGUAAAGAACGACGUGCGAAUUGCAAGUCGCCAACUCAUUUCACACCUCGUUUCCUCUCGAUCGCAAUUUUUUCUGUCCGUUCUAAUUCCUCGGCAAAUUCAUUCUCGUUUCUGUUCUAACCGGAACCAUAUAUCUUCAGGCGAGUCGCACACGCGCGCGCGCGCGUACGCGUGUCUAAUAUUUCCUCGGCUCGAUACCGGCGGGUAAAAAAGACGAACGGAGAGAAUUUAAAUUACGCAGCCGCUUCCUUUUUCUCCCCCCUCGCGGCAAGUGCCGUCAUAAAUUUGUUUCUCCGCCGCAAUUUUCCAGAUUAUGCUUUUCCCGUGGCCUCUCGGAAUCUCCGUGAUUCGCAGAAGAAACUUCUCGAUUGCAAUGAUCCACUUGUAUACAUUUUCAUCCGCCAUAGAGCGAGUUUCCAGCGGAACGAACAUCGAGCCGGCAAUAAUCACGUCAUUACCUCGAAUGAACGAUAUGAACCAGCUUAACGGUGCACGUUGGCGAUAAAUUGUGCGAGACACUUUUGUUAGACGGUUUUCACGAGGGAUGUUGACGAUAAGAUAGUUGCAAACAUACAUGAAGAAGUCUUUGCCGAGCGGACCUUUACUGCCGGUGCAAUGGCUGACGCCGCAGCCGACGAGAUGCGUCGAGGCCCACGCGAUUUGGGUGUAAUGGCCGAUCUCGUGGAGAUCGUUCGCUUGGUCGUCGCCGUACUUGUAGUCUUUGUACUCCAUGUACCACAUUCUAAUGGGGAAGUUCCUGGAAAUGAAACAGGCUCGUCUGUUUAUUGAAUUCAUCGGUGUAUUAA